CCUAGAGGGGGACAACAGUUGGAAACGACUGCUAAUACCGCAUACGAUCUAAUCUCGGCAUCGAGGAUGGAUGAAAGGUGGCCUCUAUUUAUAAGCUAUCACUGAAGGAGGGGAUUGCGUCUGAUUAGCUAGUUGGAGGGGUAACGGCCCACCAAGGCGAUGAUCAGUAGCCGGUCUGAGAGGAUGAACGGCCACAUUGGGACUGAGACACGGCCCAG
rnacentral:rRNA from 1 species